CCAAUGCACAGGUGUUGCUGACAGUAUAAAUACCAAAUUUCACUGAGAAUCUUCGUAGGUAAAGUUAAAUAUCAGCUACCAACAGACGCCAUCUGCUCAUUUUCAAAAAACAAGACAAUGGCUUCAACUUCACUCCUGAUUUGCCUAUUUGUUACAGUGUUCGUUGGACUGCUUGCUUCUCCUGCAACAGCUCAAGCUAACUGGGUUGUCGGAGGAGGAUACAAUGGCGGUUAUGAUCAACCAAUUGGUCUAACUCAAAUCUUGACUAGUAUCAUACCCUAUGUAAAUGCAUUUGUACAUAUGCCAAAUCUGGAUAUUACUGCCUACCACAUUCCACAUCUGGGGUUCAUCUAUAAUUCUAAUAAUCAAUACUCUCCCUAUUAUGCUGUUGGACAUUAUCCUUUCGUACACUAUUAAGAUAAUAUAGAGAAAUGACUAAGCUUAAAACCAAAUUACAGAUUAAGGAAGAAAAGAAAGUUAUAUAUCACAAAUAAGAUAUUUGUUAGAUCAAAGGAUUUUUAUUAAUUGUUUUAAAGGUUCCCAGCAAAAUAAAACUUAGAUUAAUCAUGACUUUCUUCUUAAUAAAAAAUAUACUUCAUAAAAAUAUUUCUUUUAAGUUAAACUUGAAAUAAAGCCAGUUUUCCUCUAGAGAAAUCUUUCCUUCUGAAAUAGUAUUCCUUAACUCUUAACCUUUAAGUGCUAAACAGAAAUAAAAUACUAUCUUCAGCUCUAUUCUUGUGUUAAAUAAAUGAAUGAAGGAUUUAGUCUUACACCAAGAGCAUAGCAAGCCUUUAUUUCUUUGUGUAUAAGUCAUGUUUGCAAUAAAUUUCCCAAUUUAUGCUCUCUUGAAUGACAUUAUGAAUGAUUUAUGAAAAGCUUCAAAUAAAAACAAUAAUAUAACUUCAGAAAAGAUUUGAUCGAAUGCAACAUAAUGUUAUUGUAAGCCCUAGCACUCAAAGACAUUAGAAUAUUAUUUAAUACAGAUUGUGGAAAAAUAAAAGAAGUAAAACAUUUUGGCAAGA